GGGACCUUACGAUUUUAAAGAAGUACUUUAACUUUCUAACCUAACAAUUUCUCAUUAAGCAUCUGUUCCACUAAUUAAUUCAUUUUUAAUAUUGUUUACGAAUUUAAAAGGGUUCCAUGACUUUUUGUUCAGUCAUCGCAUUAUAACCCAAGUUCUAGAUAAAAUGUAGUUUGUUCGGGUCAAAUUUGAACAAACUAAAAAAGAGAUUUACUUAGAUAAAAGAUAAUAAUAAACUAAUGUUUGUAGUUGGCUCACUUUAAUAUGUUUGUAACGUUC
rnacentral:lncRNA from 1 species